UGCCAGCAGCCGCGGUAAUACGAAGGGUGCAAGCGUUGUCCGGAUUUAUUGGGCGUAAAGAGUACGUAGGCGGCUUUUCAAGUCGGAUGUGAAAUCCCUGAGCUUAACUCAGGAACUGCAUUCGAUACUGGAUCGCUAGAGUAUAUUAGAGGAUAGUGGAAUUUCAAGUGUAGCGGUGAAAUGCGUAGAUAUUUGAAGGAACACCAAUGGCGAAGGCAGCUAUCUGGAAUAAUACUGACGCUGAGGUACGAAAGCGUGGGGAGCAAACAGGAUUAGAUA
rnacentral:rRNA from 1 species